GAACGCUGGCGGCGUGCUUAACACAUGCAAGUCGAACGAGAAAGCCUUCGGGUGAGUAGAGUGGCGCACGGGUGAGUAAUGCUUGGGAACAUACCAAUAGGUGGGGAAUAACAGUUGGAAACGACUGCUAAUACCGCAUAGUCUCUUCGGAGUAAAUGAGGCCUCUACUUGUAUGCUACAGCCUAUUGAUUGGCCCAAGUCGCAUUAGCUUGUUGGCGGGGUAAUGGCCCACCAAGGCUACGAUGCGUAGCUGGUCUGAGAGGAUGAUCAGCCACACUGGAACUGAGACACGGUCCAGACUCCUACGGGAGGCAGCAGUGGGGAAUAUUGCACAAUGGGCGCAAGCCUGAUGCAGCAACGCCGCGUGGGUGAAGAAGGCUCUUGGGUCGUAAAGCCCUUUCGUUAG
rnacentral:rRNA from 1 species